CCGCCAUGUCGCGCCCCCCGCACCCCCACACUUGCCAUGGCAUCAGUGCGCGGCGUCCCGCGGCCCGGGGCGGGGCGGCAGCCCCUGGACCACCGCCUGCGUCGCGGCCGCCGAGCGCCGGGCCCGGCCGGAGGGAAACGAAAGCGAAAGGUUGGAAAGGCCUCUAACAUCACCUAGUCCAGCUGUCCGCCCGGCACCGGCGUUGCCCGCUCACCCCUGUUCCCUCAGGGCCGCAUCUCCGCCUUUCUCAAGCACCUCCACCACCACAAA